AUAGUCCGUAGAAAGAGAAGAAGAGCUGCUGUACAGUUAUUCCAAUUCGAAAAAGAAAAGGAGCUGAAAACGAUUUCUGACACGGAACAAUGGCACAACAGAACCAGUCACAUUUCUCCAUAAAGGCAGAGAAUAUAAAAACAACUUUGAUAACAUUGAUUAAAUUUCCAAAUGAAUCCAAGUGCCCUCUUUGUAAAAAGCACAGAGACUACAGCAUCCUGCUACGUCACCUUCAGAGUCAUUAAGGCCACAUUGUCAAGUAUGCAGCAUACUGUCCAUAGUGGUUUUGAAGUUCCAGAAAUGCCUACCUUUCAAAAUCCAGAUCAUUUAAAUGUAUGUUUAUAAUGGUUUGCAUAAAUAUUUUUGUAACAUUAAACUC